rnacentral:rRNA from 1 species
GACGAACGCUGGCGGCGUGCCUAAUACAUGCAAGUUGAGCGAUGAAGAUUGGUGCUUGCACCAAUUUGAAGAGCAGCGAACGGGUGAGUAACGCGUGGGGAAUCUGCCUUUGAGCGGGGGACAACAUUUGGAAACGAAUGCUAAUACCGCAUAACAACUUUAAACAUAAGUUUUAAGUUUGAAAGAUGCAAUUGCAUCACUCAAAGAUGAUCCCGCGUUGUAUUAGCUAGUUGGUGAGGUAAAGGCUCACCAAGGCGAUGAUACAUAGCCGACCUGAGAGGGUGAUCGGCCACAUUGGGACUGAGACACGGCCCAAACUCCUACGGGAGGCAGCAGUAGGGAAUCUUCGGCAAUGGACGAAAGUCUGACCGAGCAACGCCGCGUGAGUGAAGAAGGUUUUCGGAUCGUAAAACUCUGUUGGUAGAGAAGAACGUUGGUGAGAGUGGAAAGCCCAUCAAGUGACGGUAACUACCCAGAAAAGGACGGCUAACUACGUG